rnacentral:rRNA from 1 species
GACGAACGCUGGCGGCGUGCUUAACACAUGCAAGUCGAGCGGGAAGCUUCGGCUUUCAGCGGCGAACGGGUGAGUAACACGUGGGCAACCUGCCCCGAGCUCUGGAAUAACUUCGGGAAACCGGGGCUAAUACCGGAUAUGACACUACCGGACAUCUGGUGGUGUGGAAAGAUUUAUCGGCUCGGGAUGGGCCCGCGGCCUAUCAGCUUGUUGGUGGGGUAACGGCCUACCAAGGCGACGACGGGUAGCCGGCCUGAGAGGGCGACCGGCCACACUGGGACUGAGACACGGCCCAGACUCCUACGGGAGGCAGCAGUGGGGAAUAUUGCGCAAUGGGCGAAAGCCUGACGCAGCGACGCCGCGUGAGGGACGAAGGCC